UGGUGCGAUCAUACCAGCACUAAUGCAUCGGAUCCCAUCAUAACUCUGAAGUGAAGUGUGCUUGGGCGAGAGUAGUACUAGGAUGGGUGACCUCCUGGGAAGUCCUCGUGUUGCACCUC
rfam:Lupinus angustifolius cultivar Tanjil contig_20973, whole genome shotgun sequence.